rfam:Cavia porcellus supercont2_136 genomic scaffold, whole genome shotgun sequence.
GGGGAUUUAGCUCAGCGGCAUAAGCGCCUGCCUUGCAAGCAGGAAGUCGUGAGCUCGAUCCCUG